UAAACGCACGGCAGCGGAGCGGCGCUUACCUAUCACUGCCUGCAGCCCGAGCACGCGUGUGAUAGAGAAACAAGCAGCCCCUGUCGCCACGGGUGUUAUCGGCCCCUCUGUGGACCUCGUGCCUGAAGGGGGUUUUUGUAUGUUCUCCUGCUCGCUCCACAGAAGUCGUUCAGUCUGAAAACAGUGUUUCCGGAUAAGAAAUGUAGGUUCUGCUCUGCUACCUGCUUCUGUACUCCCUGACAAGCUACUUCUGCAGCUGUAAAUGAAAUAACUGCAAUUGCCAGGAGCAGAAACAAGUCUUCCCUCCCUGAGGGAGACAUUCCAGUCUCAAAAACGCUUUGAGGGCAGUGACAGAGGUGAGCCGUGCCCUGUAUGCAAAAUUUCAUCUCACAUAAACUUCGGAGAUAAAGAGGGAGAGAUACACUUCAAAUGGCACAGUUCUGCACAGAAUCAUGGGAUCAUGUAGGUUGGAAGGGACCUCUAAAGCUCAUCAUCUCUAUCCCCUGCUCAAAGAAGGGCAAGUUAAAACCAGGUCCUCAAGGCCUCAUUGAGUUCAGUUAUGAGUAUCUUCAAAAAAAAAAGAUUUUGAAGCCACUGUCGUCGCCUAUUUUCAGUGUUUUACUAGCCUCAUGGUAAUCCUUUUUUAACUUGUAAUUAGUCAGAAAUUCACAUGCUUCAAUUUGUGUCAUUUGCCCCUCAUCCUUUCCCUGUGCAUCUGUUUUCUUUUCAUCCUUCCAUUAGGCAGCUCCCUCCUUAGCUUUUUCUUAAGGCCAAGACUCAGUUCUUUCAGAUUGUCUUCAUACAUCAUGAGUUCCAGUCCCCUGACCUUCAUGGUGUCUCUCUACUGGGUUUAGUCCAGCAUAUCUUCUACUGGGGAGCUCAGAACUGGACGCUUGUGAUCUCGCAAGUGCCAAAGAGGGAGAAAGGACCACUUUACUUACUGGCUGAUAACUCUUGUUAGUAACAGCCCCAUGUGUAGUUUACCUUCUUUGCCUAAAGGCCACUCUACUGACUCAUGUUCCACUCACUGUACACCAGGACCUCCAAGUCUUUUUAUUCUGGGCUCCUUUGUUGACCCUUGACCUUUGCUGUUGCAUAAGGCUAUUUUUCCCCUAGUGCAGGACUUUGCAUUUGGCUUUGUUGAACUGUAUGAAAUUCUUGUGAAUCCAUUCUGCCAACCUGUCUGGGACACUGCAUAGAAGUCCUGAACUCCGAUGUAUCAACCAUUCACCCUCAGUUUAGGGUUGUCUGCAGAUUUGCUGUGAUUGCCCCCAUUGCAUCAUCCAGGUCAUCAGUAAUAGACCUUAAAUAGUACUGGCCCCAGUACCAAUCCCUGAGGGAUGCCACUAGUAACCUGCAGCUGAUUGGACUUUGUACCACUGAUCACGCUUUGAAACAAGGGCCAACCAACUUUCCACCUGCCUUAUAAUCCACUUAUCCAGCUAUAUGACACCAAUUUGAGUGUAGGAAUAUUAUAGAAAGACAUAUCAAAAGCUUUGCAAAACCUUUAGAGCACUCAGAGCUCCCCUUUUGUCCACACAGUCAUCACACUGUAGAAAACAAUCAAUUUGACCUGGUAAAUACAUGCUGGCAGUUACCUUAUUGUCCUUCAUGUGCUUGGACAUGGCUUCCAGGAGUAUUUGCUCCACCACCUUCCCAGGACUAAGGUUAGGUAAACUAGUCUAUCAUUCCCUGCAUCUUUCUUCUUGCCCCUCUGGAAGACAUGUGUGUAACCUUUACUCAUCUCCAGUCACCAGAAACCUCCCCAAAUCCCCAUAACUUUUCAAAGAUGAUAGAGCCUCACAAUGACAUUGGCCAUCUCCUCCAGCACACCAUCUGGUCUUGUGGCUUUCGGUAUGGCCAGUUGGCUUCAGUGCUCCCUAACUGCUCUGCUGGGCACUGCUUCACUCCUGUGGACUCUACUAACCGUGGGGAACUGGGAAGACUAAGAGCAGACCAUAUCAGUGAAAACCAUUACAGAAAAAGCUUUAUGUACCUCAGCCUUUUCCAUGUUGUUUGUCACUGUGUCUGCCCACUGCUCCAUGGAGAAGUGGAACGGUAUUUUCCUCAGCCUUCCUUUUGCUGCCAGUGUACCUUCAGAAGCCUUUCUUGUUAACCUUCACCUCCCCAGCUGGUUUAAUCUCCCAGCUGAGCUUUGACUUUCCCAACACCAGCCCUGCAUGCUCAAGCAAUGUCUCUGUAUUUGUCCUAGGCAGGUCAUCUGUGCUUCCACUUUCCACACAUUUCCUUUUUGUGGUGGAGCUCAGCUGGGAGUCCCUUAUACAUCCAUGCUGGCCUCCUCCCAUACUUGUCUGCAGAACUUGUCCGUUCUGCACAUCAGAACGGACUGCUCUUUUUCUUAGAGGAGAUUCUUCUUGAAGAUCAACCAGCUGCCCUGGCCUCAUGCCCUCUAAGUUAGUCUCCUAUUGGAUCCUACCAAGAAGAUUCCCAGGUAGGCCAAAACCUUCUUUCCUGAAGUCCAGGGCUGUGAUUCUACUACUUGCUCAUUUCUUUCACGAUUUUCAUCUCUACAGUCUUGUAUUAGCUGCAGCCAAGACUGCACCUUCACACCUUUGUUUGUAAAGACUUCAUCAAGACAUCCUGGCGUCUUUCUUCCUUGAUACGCUUCAAGUAGUCUACAUAAAACAGAAAGACCUCCACCUUCCUCUCUUUUGGUGAUGAUUUUGGCAAUCAGCUGGCCCCGCCAGCCCAGUACUUUUGUAUCGAAGACUACACAGUAGAGGAUAUGUAAGAAAGAAUGUAAGAGAUAGUGAUGGUCUAGAGAGUCUUAGAAUUAGCUUGAGGUUUCUUAACUAUGUGGGUAGCACUGAAUUUUGCUGUCUUAAAGAUGAAGGGGCUGUGCUGUGCUGGGAAAGGAGGAUACAUGGAAUAGAGAGCUAGUGGGCAGACAUAAAGGAGCAGAGCCCUGGAAAACAAACUUCUUGUUCCCACUGCCGCAGGGAGUGUGGAGAGGUGUUCUCCCCAGGCGAUACCUGUUGCCUUCAAACUCUUCUGUUACUCAGUGAAGCAGCUGAGUCUGACCUUUUAGAUCUUCUGCAUUUACAGUGGGUCCCUGGCCUUUGUACUGCCCCAAUAUUAUGCUGCCUUAGGUAACCCUUAUUUUACCUAUCUACAGUGAUAGCCCUGCACCUAAAUUACCUGAUACCGGUAGCUGCUCUAUAAGAAGUGUUUCUUAUUGUUACUGUUUUCUGUGCGUGUAUACCUCGGGAGUACUGAAUUAACUGGGGAAAAAAGUAUCUUUUUGAAUUCUAUUAGCUCAGUGGGAAAACACAGACAUGGCAACUGAGGUGGUUUCCGUUCUGCUCCAUGUAUUGUCAAUUGCCCUGUCAGUUCAUCUCCAAUUACAGAGGCUGUUUUACUGGUAUUUUUAUUAAGAUUCUGAAAACAUGACUGGAUUUUCAGAACACCAGUUGAAUUUGUAAGUCUGACAGCUAACACAGUUUUUGCCUUAGGAAAACAGCAACAUUAGAAACCAAAGAAAAAACAUCGACACAGAAACCCAUAGCAUCCUUUUGCAUAAGAGGAAUGCAACAGCCAGAAA